GCGGGUGUAGCUCAGUUGGUUAGAGCGCCAGAUUGUGGCUCUGGAGGUCGCCGGUUCGAUCCCGGUCACUCGCCCCA
rnacentral:tRNA from 2 species